CCCCGGAUAUAAGGUCAGUUUUUCCAAGUCCGCUGAAGUGACCAUAUAACGAGGUCUGACUGUAAUACCUUCUACAAGACUUUAUUACUGAUGCCAAUUGCCAACUCCUUGAUGAAGAUACGACAUUUAAAAUUCAUAAGGAAGUAAUCAGGAUUCUGAAAUGAAAAACUACUCCCAAUUUCCUAAAAGGUGCUGUAAUGAAAUCACCACAAUCACCAAGACUGUUUGCCUUUAUUAAAAUACAUAAAUUCUCUAUAGAAGACUGAUCUGUGAUUAAAAAAACAAUCUUCACCAACUUAUGAAUUAGAAAAAUAGUUAACCCAUUGGUGCUUACAGAGAAUGAAGGACUAUGAACCAAUGCUCCAUUCCUGAUCAGAAUUAAUACAUAAAUUCAUGGAGGUAGGCUCUCUACCAGAAGAACAGUUAGAAGUUUAUUGAAGGAUAAAGGGCUUUGAAGUCAUAAAACUAGAAUUGGUAACGAGUGAGUUAUACAAAUUCCUACUGCAACACAUUCUGAAUGAUUAUUGCUAUCCCAGCACACUUAGGGACAUCUGUUACCUUCUGCUCCAUCAAUCCUACUUCAAAUUUAAUGGGAGAUUCUACAUUCAAUCUCAAGGAAUCCCUCCCUAUAGGUGGCAGCCCCCUCACAUGGGUCUUAGUAGAAGUAGUAAUCGGAGUUAAAGAAAAUAUUGUUUACCAUCAAUAUACCAUUAAUAUAUGAACAUUACAAGAUCUACAAAAGAUACAUGGAUGAUAUCCUUAUUGUUAGAGAAAAAAGUGAUUCCCAAAUCAAUGUGGAUUCAACAUCUUUGUAUCUUUUAAUAGAUUCAACAUUCAGAUUAUCCGUUGAAAAACAGAGGAACAGUGAAAAAGAAAUUAUCUAUACUUAAAAAUUAAAAUUAAGAACAUAGGAUGUGAGCUGUCAGUCUUUAGAAAAAAUACUUAUAAAUCAAUUUUUAUCAAGGUAAGUUCAAAGGAACUCUGGUCAUACAAACUAUCAAUCUUUAGAGUUUUACUCAGUAAAUCCUAACAUACUGCUCUAUACAAGAGGCUGCAAACGUGGAACUAAACUGGAUUGCCACGAUUCAUGGUUACAGAAUAAACAUUAUACAGAUGUUAUGGAAAGAAAUACAACAUACGAAGAACAAAUUUUCAGCAUCCAACCAUACAGAAAAUAAGUUUGGACAUCAAUCCAGUCACCACGAGAUUUAAGAAGAAAUUAAAAUAGAAAAUAGGCUUUAGUGUUCAGAAGAAGAAAUAAUCUAUUUAAUGUAACCAGAAACAAUAAGGAUAAAUUGAAUCACAAUAAAUUACCAGGGGUCUAUCAAAUUCAGCUGCACAACAUAGACACGGAUAAUAUUUUAAUUAAUUUUCUACAUUUAAAUAGGAUACACGAUGAGAUCGAUUGCACAAAUAAUCUCUGAGCAUAAAUCUUGGCAUAGACAAGGAUUUAAACACCAUUGUGCUAGUGCAAUGAGCAAAUGGAAUGGACUUGGUAAUAAAAUGGGAUGAUGCCAAGUUAAUAUUUCCUGAACCUAAUCCUAUUAAAGGGAAAUUUGCAUAAAUCUUAACUAUUUAUAAAAAAAGAGGAUAGACUGUAAAACCAGUGAGCAAAGAAAAUCCUAAAGACAUUAGCCUUGCAUGGAGAAACUAUCUAAUAUAGACACUUUAGACUUUUAUUUUUAUUUGGAUCUUUAAUUUUACAUUUUUCUAAGUUUUAUAUAAAUUAAAAUUGUUUAUUAU
rnacentral:lncRNA from 1 species